rnacentral:lncRNA from 1 species
UUCAUUUUACACAAAGAAAAAAUGUUGGAGUGAUGACAGAGAAAAUGUUGAGAUGAGAGAGAAAAUAUCUUUCAUGACAAAGGGUUUCUGAUUUUUUUUUUUUUCAAUUGGGGCAACAAUAGGGAUGACAGAGAAAAUGUUGGAGUGAGAGAGAUGAAAGAGAAAAGGUUGAGAGGAAUGAGGGAGGUGAGUAAGGGUUUGGGG